GACGAACGCUGGCGGCGUGCUUAACACAUGCAAGUCGAACGGAAAGGCCCUGCUUUUGUGGGGUGCUCGAGUGGCGAACGGGUGAGUAACACGUGAGUAACCUGCCCUUGACUUUGGGAUAACUUCAGGAAACUGGGGCUAAUACCGGAUAGGAGCUCCUGCUGCAUGGUGGGGGUUGGAAAGUUUCGGCGGUUGGGGAUGGACUCGCGGCUUAUCAGCUUGUUGGUGGGGUAGUGGCUUACCAAGGCUUUGACGGGUAGCCGGCCUGAGAGGGUUACCGGCGACAUUGGGACUGAGAUACGGCCCAGACUCCUACGGGAGGCAGCAGUGGGGAAUAUUGCACAAUGGGGGGAAGCCUGAUGCAGCAACGCCGCGUGCGGGAUGAAGGCCUUCGGGUUGUAAACCGCUUUCGCCUGUGACGAAGCGUGAGUGACGGUAAUGGGUAAAGAAGCACCGGCUAACUACGUG
rnacentral:rRNA from 1 species